AUUGAACGCUGGCGGCAUGCCUUACACAUGCAAGUCGAACGGCAGCACGGGAGCAAUCCUGGUGGCGAGUGGCGAACGGGUGAGUAAUAUAUCGGAACGUGCCCGGUCGUGGGGGAUAACGUAGCGAAAGCUACGCUAAUACCGCAUACGAUCUACGGAUGAAGGCGGGGGAUCGCAAGACCUCGCGCGAUUGGAGCGGCCGAUAUCAGAUUAGGUAGUUGGUGAGGUAAAGGCUCACCAAGCCGACGAUCUGUAGCUGGUCUGAGAGGACGACCAGCCACACUGGGACUGAGACACGGCCCAGACUCCUACGGGAGGCAGCAGUGGGGAAUUUUGGACAAUGGGCGCAAGCCUGAUCCAGCAAUGCCGCGUGCAGGAUGAAGG
rnacentral:rRNA from 1 species